CUCACGCCCAGCCAGCCCCCUGGUGGUGGGUGACAGGAAGAAAGCAGGGUUUGGGGCGCCCUUGCCCUGGUCACUGAAACCUGUGAGACCUCGAGCAAGCCAUGUCACCUCUCUGGACCUUCUUCACUACAAAAAAUGGUCUAGGACUCCACAGUCAUCAGGGAUUCAGUUUCCACCUUCUUAGUUGUAACUUCCAUCUUCAAGUUUAUCUUGUGACUCAAAAUUGCCGCUGGAUCUUUAGCCUUCACAAACUCAUUCCAAGCAGCAGGAAAGAAGGAUGGUGGAAGAUUUAAAAGAGGUGCACCUCUACUUUCUACUUCGUUAGCCAGAACUUAGUUAUUUGGUCUCACCUAGUAGCAAAGGAAACUAUGAAAUGCUUUCAUUUGGCUGGGCACAUUGAUGAUCCGAAUGGCAUUAGGAUUAUUUUAUUAAUACUAAGGGAGAAGAGGAUGGUGGACAUUGAGCAGCUAUCAGCAGUCUCUACUUUAGUCUCCCAACCACAGGUGUGUCCAGCUGUCAAGAGCAGUGGCUGUGAACCUUCACAUAUGGUCCUUGACCCAUAGACGCCCGGCCUGCCAUCUGGUGGCAGGUUGGUUACACUGGAUUCCUUUCAUCACACGAGUAGCAUAGACUUGCCCUCAGUACAAUAGACAUUUAUUCCAGCUAAGGUUUUACAUUCUCUGCUGGCCGUGCUUCUGCUAGCAACUUCAUUAGUAGAUUUACUGAAUGUCUUUUUAAUAACCAUGGUACUAUUAUACA